AGCCUGGCUGCUUCUCCAGCUGGCAGCAGACCUUGGUGGCAUCCACAUGGUGCUGAUUUUAGGUGCAAGGAAAAUGUACAAAUUCAGAGAGUAAGACAGCUUCCACCAGGCAGACGCCAAGCAGUGUGCCCCUGAGUGGGCAAUUUAUAAAGAUGUAAAGGUGAAGCCUAAGGUUCAGUGGAGACACCAGAAAUUUUAAAAAGCCAAGAACGUGGAUCAUCCAUGGAAAGCUGCAAAAAGUGAACAGAAAUGCUUUAAGAGAGAAGCUGCAGGAGCUGAAAUCCCUAAAAGUACCAUGGGAUGUAAUCACCCAAGCCUUUUGGAGCUUACAACCAGAUUGCUUCAAAUGCUGAUCCUGGAACUCUAGAGCGUAAUGGUCACCCUGCUGGAUGUUGGACUUGCUUUGUUUCCAAUGAUUUAUAUCCCUCUGUUUGUAACCUUUGGAAUGUUGAAAAGAACAAGGAAAUGAAACCCAAAAGAUUAUUUCACAUGGCAAAUAUAUGUCAGACUGAAGGAAAGCACUUCCACAGAUACCACCUCCUCCCAACACAGAUGGCAUCCCAACCAUACAUCAGAAGAGAAGAAUAAAGAGAGAAUCUGAUUUAACAGAAACAAAUGUGUCUAUCAAUCCAGAUGACAAACGGAAUAAAAUGGAUGAAGGGAAAUCAGUCUACUGUGUCAGAAUUUGUGCUGCUGCCACUUACACACUCAUGGAAUGUGUCUUGAGAUGGUUCUUCUGGUAGUAAUGCCUAUGAUUGCUAUGUGGCCUUUUGCACACCACGCCACUAUUCCACCAUCAUAAGCCUGAGAAGAUGCAUUGGGUUAGUUGUCACUGCAUGGACGGUUCAUUUUCUGCAUGCCAUGAGUCAAAUUAUUGUUAUUGUGAAUUGCCUUUCUGUGUCACCAGGGAAGUAGAUGGCUUCUGUUGUGAUAGACCACUGGUAAUUAAGCUGGCCUGCAUGGACUCAUGUAAGUUAAAAGUUUUACUCAACUUUGACUUUGAAGUUGUAGCUGUAAACCUGCUUAAUUAUACUGUCAAUAUCAUACACAUAUAUUUUUGUCACUGCCUUCCAAAGCUCUAAAACUGUGUUCAUCCAAGGAAUCGUCCACUUACACUGCCCAUAUCAUAGUUGUGGUACACU